rnacentral:rRNA from 1 species
CCUACGGGGGGCUGCAGUAGGGAAUCUUCCGCAAUGGGCGAAAGCCUGACGGAGCAACGCCGCGUGAGUGAUGAAGGUCUUCGGAUCGUAAAACUCUGUUAUUAGGGAAGAACAUAUGUGUAAGUAACUGUGCACAUCUUGACGGUACCUAAUCAGAAAGCCACGGCUAACUACGUGCCAGCAGCCGCGGUAAUACGUAGGUGGCAAGCGUUAUCCGGAAUUAUUGGGCGUAAAGCGCGCGCAGGUGGUUUAAUAAGUCUGAUGUGAAAGCCCACGGCUCAACCGUGGAGGGUCAUUGGAAACUGUUAAACUUGAGUGCAGGAGAGAAAAGUGGAAUUCCUAGUGUAGCGGUGAAAUGCGUAGAGAUUAGGAGGAACACCAGUGGCGAAGGCGGCUUUUUGG